rnacentral:misc_RNA from 1 species
CAAGUUACCGACACAUAAACAAAGUUUGAAUUGCAAUUAAUAAAUAAAAUCAAUAACAAAAUAAAGUACAUCGACUAAUCGGAUAUAUUCAUUAUCACGUAACACCGGGUAAAAGUGAAAGUUAGUUAUUAGUAAAACGUGACAAAUAUUGAUAAAGAGACAUAAACAAAGAAGCAAUAAGGUAUACCAUGGAUAAGUAGCAUUUUCUUCCUUGUUCUCAUUUCCAUCUGGUCGCAUUGCCCCGAAAUAGCCUCGAUUUGAGUUUGCAGACUUUCAAGCGCACACAAUACAAACGAGCGAAACGCAGUGAAUUGAGCAGCUAUGUGGGAGACGGGGCUUGAUGGUGGAGUUGAAGCAAUCUGAAGAUCCUUUUGAAACUCAGCCAUUCUGAUAUUAAACGUCUGGGCCAUCUCAGUUAUCGACUGCUUUAUUGACUCCAUGAUGUUUAAAGGAAGAUUUAUGAGGUCUAAAGAUUGAUAGAUCUUGUAAUUUAUUAUUAUAAGGAUUUUAGCUGGUGUACAGGGGAUCUCAAUAUAUCAUUAUAUUAACGAAAAAUAAACAAAAAUCACUAAUUUAAGUAAAUAAAUACAGAGCAAACAAAAU